rnacentral:rRNA from 1 species
UGGGGAAUUUUGGACAAUGGGCGAAAGCCUGAUCCAGCAAUGCCGCGUGUGUGAAGAAGGCCUUCGGGUUGUAAAGCACUUUUGUCCGGAAAGAAAUCCUUGGCUCUAAUACAGUCGGGGGAUGACGGUACCGGAAGAAUAAGCACCGGCUAACUACGUGCCAGCAGCCGCGGUAAUACGUAGGGUGCAAGCGCUAAUCGGAAUUACUGGGCGUAAAGCGUGCGCAGGCGGUUUGCUAAGACCGAUGUGAAAUCCCCGGGCUCAACCUGGGAACUGCAUUGGUGACUGGCAGGCUAGAGUAUGGCAGAGGGGGGUAGAAUUCCACGUGUAGCAGUGAAAUGCGUAGAGAUGUGGAGGAAUACCGAUGGCGAAGGCAGCCCCCUGGGCCAAUACUGACGCUCAUGCACGAAAAGCGUGGGGAGCAAAACAGGAUUAGAUACCCUGGUAGUCCACGCCCUAAAACGAUGUCAACUAGUUGUUGGGGAUUCAUUUUCCUUAGUAACGUAGCUAACGCGUGAAGUUGACCGCCUGGGGAGUACGGUCGCAAGAUUAAAAACUCAAAUGAAUUGACGGGGUCAUAGCUGUUUCCU